ACGCUCGACACCUACGGGAGCAGCAGUGGGGAAUAUUGGGCAAUGGGCGAAAGCCUGACCCAGCAACGCCGCGUGAGGGAAGAAGGUUUUUCGGAUUGUAAACCUCUGUCCUCAGGGACGAAGGACGUGACGGUACCUGAGGAGGAAGCCCCCGGCUAACUACGUGCCAGCAGCCGCGGUAAUCUGAGGCGGGCUGGACGAAGGC
rnacentral:rRNA from 1 species